GCAAUGCUGUAUCGAGGAUGGCUAGUUUAGUGGGUUGGGUAGCGGCGCAGUGGUCAACCGGCAACCAGGGGGGAAGGACGCACGGAAAAGUGAAGGAGAAGGAAGAAAAGAAUAAGCACGGGGCUGGGCAUUCACCUUCGGCACUAAAGCAAGGUGUGUGUCCGCCUCGCCACGCUCCUGCCCUGGCCGUGUCGUCCCUCGUUGCCGCUGUCCCCAGUUCGCCGACGGUCACUCCUGCUGGGGCGGCUGGAGUUUUCAUCGCCAGUGUCUUCAUGGUUAAGUAUUGCUGGAGCAGCAGAUUCAAAGGCCUGGCGAGUGAAGAUGAGCCCCCUGUGACAGCCAAGGCCAAGACACACCCAUACCCUGGCUUGCAGCUCGUCAUCCCGCCCUGUCUGGUCCACCCUCAACCUGACGGUGCUACUGACGAAAUCAUGGUGGCAGCUUGAUCGUUCCGCCAUCAACGUGAUCUUCAGCAGCUUAAGACGCCGCCCAACCGAAUUCGCCACACCUGAGGAAUAGAAGCUGGACACCACACGGGAGAACGCUGUGGAAACUUCAGGGAGCCAUAAAUAGCAGUUUCCCUGGUUAUUGUAAAGAUGGUUAAAUAAAUGUUCUACGGAGGA